AGAUAAGAAAGAAGAAAAAAGAAGGCAUUCAAGAUCAAGAUCACGUUCUAGGAGGAGGAGGACUCCCUCAUCUUCUAGACACAGGCGGUCAAGAAGCAGAUCGAGACGGCGGUCACAUUCUAAGUCUAGGAGUCGGCGACGAUCCAAAAGCCCAAGGCGGAGAAGAUCUCAUUCCAGAGAAAGAGGUAGAAGGUCAAGGAGCACAUCAAAAACAAGAGACAAAAAGAAAGAAGACAAAGAAAAGAAACGUUCUAAAACACCACCAAAAAGUUACAGCACAGCCAGACGUUCUAGAAGUGCAAGCAGGGUCUCUCUCUGUUGCCCAGGCUGGAGUGCAGUGGCCCUAUCACAACUCACUCCAGCUUCAACCUCCGCAGGCUCAAGUGAUCUUCCUGCCUCUGCCUCCUGAGUAGCUGGGACUACAGGCAUGCACCACCACACCUGGCUAAUUUUUUUGUAUUUUUUGUAGAGACAGAGUUUCACCAUGUUGCCCAGGCUGGUCUGGAACUCCUGGGCUCAAGCAAUCCCCUCACCUCAGCCUGCCAAAGUGCUGGGAUUAUAGGCAUGAGCCACUACAUCUGGCCACAUCUUUCAUUGUUAGAAUCAUCUAUGAUGUGUCUGCAUUUUUAAGAUCACACUGUAUUUUAAAACCUAGUUUGCACAUUUGUGAUUCUAGAGAGAGACGACGACGAAGAAGCAGGAGUGGCACAAGAUCUCCUAAAAAGCCUCGGUCUCCUAAAAGAAAAUUGUCCCGCUCACCAUCCCCUAGGAGACAUAAAAAGGAGAAGAAGAAAGAUAAAGACAAAGAAAGAAGUAGGGAUGAAAGAGAACGAUCAACAAGCAAGAAGAAGAAGAGUAAAGAUAAGGAAAAGGACCGGGAAAGAAAAUCAGAGAGUGAUAAAGAUGUAAAACAGGUUACACGGGAUUAUGAUGAAGAGGAACAGGGGUAUGACAGUGAGAAAGAGAAAAAAGAAGAGAAGAAACCAAUAGAAACAGGUUCCCCUAAAACAAAGGAAUGUUCUGUGGAAAAGGGAACUGGUGAUUCACUAAGAGAAUCCAAAGUGAAUGGGGAUGAUCAUCAUGAAGAAGACAUGGAUAUGAGUGACUGAAUAUUGCCUCUGAGGGAGUCCAACUGUAUACCUGCAUCAGUGUCAUUCCUUUGUGUGAUUUCUUAAUGCUGUAUUUGUUCAUCUCAAACCUAGAUGUAUACAGCUCUGAGUUAUAAAUGGUUAUAAAGCUCCUGUUACUCA
rnacentral:lncRNA from 1 species